CGGACCGCGAGAGCCGGGACCGCGCAUCCUGGACCCCGAGCCCCGAGACGUGGACCCGGACCACGAGCCCCGAGGCCCGGGACCAGACCGCGAGAGCCGGGAACGCGGACCCCGGACCACGAGCCCCGAGAGCCGGGACUGCAGACCCCGGACCACGAGCCCCGAGACCUGGGACCGGACCGCGAGAGCCGGGACCGCGGACCCCGCACCCCAAGACCUGAGACCCGGGACCGCGGAUCCCGGACCCCGAACCCCGAGACCCGGGCCGCGGGCACAGCCCGGGAGGAGAGGCCGCGCGGCCCGCCCGGGGUGGCGGCGCCCCGGAGGUCUCGGCGCGGCUGCCGCAUCCCAUCCCGGGGUCCCAGCCCGGACGAGGCUCCGUCCUGGUCCCCCGGGGCCGGCCACCUGGAGGAGGCCUCAUCCCCGGGAGCCGGUCACCUGAGGAGGACCCGUCCUCAUCCCUGGGGUCCCAUCGCCCGAGGAGGCCCAGGAGGCGGGUCACGGCGGGCGGCCGCAGGGGCACGGGUGGGCAGGCCGCCGGAGCUCGGCGGUCGGGCGCCCCUCCCGGUGGAGCAGGGACCGUGGCCGCGCGGUGUCCCGGCGCAGGUGCCGAGCCGCGGAGACGCCCCUGCUCGCUCCACCUUGGCCGUGACGGCGUCCUCGGUUCAUUUAGGAAAAAGACCCCCAGACUUGCAGGUGUCCACGGAGGGGUCCCAGCUCCCAGGACGUCGGAAAGGUGGGACUGCCCCCCGCCCCGGGCCCGGGCUCCCCUCCGGGAAACGGGGCGGUGCGAGCGGCCUCCCCCGAGCGCCCGUGGGGAGCAGGGCUGCGGACGGACGGCGGCCCCGACUCUGAACCCGCUCGGCGUGGGGUCCCUGCAGGAGGCUGAGACCGCGGGCCUGUCGGGGCGCGUGGGAGGCCCGCCGUCUGCGGCUCCCCGCGCCUUCCCGGGGCUGAGCAGCCCGAGGGGGGCCCUUCAACCUGAGCAGCAUCUUCGGGGAGGAGGCUGUCAAGACUUCUGUCCCAGAGCUCUGCAGUAACUGCCGUUAACGUGAGGGUAAUACUGUAAAGAUAUGCUUCAGUAAGACGUCUCUAAAAACAUUAAUGUCUUGCAGAAUGAAGCAUUUAGAAACUCUGAAUUCUUAAAAGUUUGAAAGUCGAGUUUGUACUCCCCUCCAACCCACCCAUCUGUUCUUCUUCUGGAGAAACCCCCGGAGAGGAGCAGCCCAGACGGCAGGGGCGGAGUAGAGGAGUCUGACCCGCCUAGGCGGCAAGAAGCCCCCAGCUCUCUCCCUGAAAACACCAGUUGAAUUUUUCAGUUUCUUUUCUUAUAGCUUCACGUCAGAUACAAGCCACUGUGACACAUGCAUGAGUAAAAUGCUCUUGGUAUUUUGAUAAAUAUGUUUAAUUUUUAAAAGACAGACUGGCGAGUUAAGCCACUUACCCAUGCACAAAAUUCGUGAAGCCAGAAUUAUAUGUUAUCUAGAAAUGCAAUUAGCCAUUUAAAGCCAUGUGUAAAUACUGACACCCCAGAAAUGUUUAAAUUUCCUUCUGUCACCCCCUGCAGGUUCACAAGAUGAAGAGUAGUAGUUUCAAUCGCUCACUGUAUUUUAAUUUAUAGCGUUGCAUUCCACAUAUUUAUCUUCACUGUGUACUAUUUCUUUUUUUUCCUAAAGAUCGGCACCUGAGCUAACCACUAUUGCCAAUCUUUUUUUUUUCUGCUUUUUCUCCCCAAAUCCCCCCAGUACAUAGUUGUAUAUUUUUUUCAAUUGUGGGUCCUUCUAGUUGUGGCUUGUGGGACGCCACCUCAGCAUGGCCUGAGGAGCAGUGCCAUGUCCGCGCCCAAGAUCCAAACCGGCGAAAGCUUGGGCCGCCAAAGCGGAGCUCGAGAACUUCACCACUUGGCCACGGGUGAUGAGAGCUGGCUCCGCCCCGUGAUUAGUGGCGCAUACUGGAGAACAGAGGCUGCCAGAAGCUGGAAUCCGCGACCCUGGAAGGGAGCAGGUUAAUCCCCGCUUGGCGUCUGAGCCUGUACUGUUUACCUCGCACUCGACUCUAAUCUGUGAGUUGAUUGUCAGCUUCAGUUUCCUGGGAGAGCACACAGCCUUAACCUGAAGUGGACCCUAACCAUGGAGAAGUCCUGCGGAAGCCAAUGGGAUGGCACAGUCAUCUCAACCCUGAGAGAAAAACGGUCCUUCCAGCCAGGGGAGGCAGGAGGAUGCGACCCUCUCUGAAGAACGUGGAGGGAAUCCGUGUUUAUUGUUUCUCUCCUCAUUUUGCCUGAGGGCAGUUCCUUUUGGCAAAAUCAUGGGGCAUGUCGGCGGGUAACAACCAGAGAGAAACCGAGACUUUCUAACCAAAGCACCAGGAAAAGAGACCCCAGGGGGCCAGAGAGCCCGGGAGUCAUCCUGGAGAGGAGAGGCCUGGAAAGCAGCUCACCAUUCUGUGUACGAGCAGACACACGUGCCCAGCGCUGCAUGUGCAAGGCAGAGCAGAAGCACGUUCGAAAUGAAUCGACACUGGAACUGCCACCAACAGAGAAAGACGGGGCUGCUGUCAGAGGAUAACCAGCGCAAGUCUGCUGAAGCACAACUAAACAUGCCCCAGAGAAUUCUUUAGAAUUUUAGCACACAGGGUCUCCCAGCAUAAACAGACAGUCCUUGCUUUGCACAGCAGGACAGACCGUAAAAAUGGCCGUGCCAGCUGAAACUGUGCCCUGCAGCCAUAAUAACCACUGGGUAAAGUUAGGAUUUUCUGUGACUUUUAGAAAUUUUCAUCAAAACAUCAAAAACUCAUAUUGUCGGUUAUAAAUGUGUGAGGAAAUGAGCAAAAUAGUAAAAUUAAUAUUUAUUUUGUACAUUGCAAUCAAAAACAUUAGUAACACAAGAUUAAACUGUUUUCAGUCUUCGUGAAAAACUCACCGAGUCAUGUGAACGGCACCUGCCUUCGUAAGUGGUAUAACUUACUUCACAACUCAUCGUACUCCUUUCUAAGUUUGCAUCAGCUUCCAACGUUUUCUCCUUUGUGCUUCUAAUGUCAUGAAAUAUCUCCAGGUUCCUUUAAUGGGAGUUUUUUUGCCGGUGUCCCUUCCUCUGGGACAUCUUCGUCCUUUUUGUCACAACCACUUUGCUCACUUGUUUGAUAAAUUCACUUCACUCGGUUCCUUUGACAGCACGUCUCGACUGUCUGGCUCGUGCAGUUGCUCUGUCUUUGAUGACCCCAUUUAUGUUUGCUUUGAAUUUCACUCUCAUUGUUUCCAGCUUCCAUUUCUUCGCUGCACUUUCAUCCUUGUUGGCCAAUGCCCUCUUUGGAUGACCACUUUUGUAAACUGUCAUGUGGGUUUAUCACUGGAGACAAGGAGGCAACGCAACCACAUGCUUUGCUGUCUGUGCACAUGAGCUAAGAGGCGUGCAGUGCCCAGUCACCGACAGACUCUGCAAGAAGUGCUGUCAUCAGUCACCGAGCACGAUGCCAUCUGCUGUUCACGUGUGAUGGGUGGAGUGGGGCCACCCACACAGUUUCAGCGAGACAGAACUUCAUGCAAUUACUCACAGUUACUACACUGAGUUUAAAGACAGACAGAAUGAUGCAGCCUGUCAGUAAUCCAACACAGGAAAGCGGGUCUGCAGCCUUCGCGGGGUAGGUGCGGGCAACCUGACGUCAGUGAUCCAGCAGAGAAAGCGAGUCUGCGGCCGUCGGGGGUGAGUGCAGAACGUUCUGAUGGCCCUUUUGUAGCCCGAAGGAAGGCAGAAGCAGUUAACCUGUUGCUAAGCAGCAAUGCUUCAGGGACCAGAACCCUUGGAAACCAAAGAGCCGGUAGGGGUAUGGAUUGUCCAAAUUCACAAAGAGAGAGAGAGGCGGCAGUGUGCACAUGAAUGGAGAUCCGGGAAACCACCUUUGAGAACUAAGCAAAGGCAAUUCAAAUGAGCAUUUGAGAAAUAAACCAAAGACCCAGUUCUCAAUUUCUUCCAUGCACUUAACACACACCGAGCUCUAUGGAGAUCUGCAAGUGUAGGGGCCAGAAGAUUAACCCCCAAGUAGCUUCACCAAAUAUGACAAUAACAAUAAUAAUAAAGUGAAUUUUUAUUAACACACUUAAGGCAUUUUGCCAAAAAUGCUACCUUUCAUAAGUAGUAAGAGAAAAUCAAUGCUAAAAUUUUGCUAAGAGAUUGUUAAGUUUCAAAUUGGAAGGUCAAAGAAUUCAGCAAAAUCAAAUGGGAAGGUUAGCAUUGUUAUAGACUUGAGAAUUGGAUUUUCCCUUAAAUUUUGUUGCUAAUACUAUAGAGAGAAAGUAUUUAAAGAAAAAUAUGAACAUUUCUAUUUUACCUCAGUUAUGAAGAGGUUAAAAUUUCUAUCUCCUUUAUAAAAUCUCAAAUAUGUAAAUAUAGGUUCUUUUCAAGCAGAACCACCACGUGUUCCUUUCCAAAAUAUGUAAGGAACUCAUAGAACUCAACAGCAAACAAUAUAAAUAAAUAACCAAUUAAAGAAAAGGCAAAGGACGUGAAUAGACAUUUUUCCAAAGAAGACAUACAAAUGGUCAACAGGCACAUGAAAAGGUGCUCAAGAUCAUGUAUUUUAGAUAUUAACCCCUUAUUGGAUAUGUGGUUUGCAAAUAUUUUCUCCUGUUCCACAGACUGCCUUUUCAUUUUGUUGAUGGUUUCCUUUGCUGUGUAGAAGCUUUUUAGUUUGAUGUAGUCCCACUUAUUUAUUUUUGCUUUUGUUGACUAUGCUUUUGGUGUCAAGUCCAAAAACUCAUUACCAAGAACAAUGUCAAGGAGUUUAUCCUUUAUAAAUAAAGGAGUUUCAGUUUCAGGUCUUAUGUUCAGGUCUUUAAUCCAUUUAGACUUGAUUUUGGGUAGUGUGGAUAUUUUAACAAUAUUAAUUCUUCCAAUCUAUGAACACACAAUAACUUUCCACUUAUUUGUGUAUUCUUCACUUUCUUUCAUCAAUGUUUUAUAGUUUCCAGUGUACAGAUUUUUCUCCUCCUUGUUAAAUUUAUUCCUGAGUACUUUAUUCUUUUUGACACUAUUGUAAAUGAGAUUGUUUUCUUAAUUUCUCAUUCAAUAGUUUGUUGCUAGUGUAUAAAAAUGUAACUGAUUUUUUCCUCCCCAAAGCCCCAGCACAUAGUUGUCUAUCCUAGUUGUAAGUCCUUCCAGUUCUUCUGUGUGGGAUGCUGCCACAGCAUGGCUCGAUACGCGGUGUGUAUUUUGGCGCCCAGGAUUGGAACCAGUGAUCCCCGAGCCGCUGAAGCGAAGUGUGCAAACUUAACCCCUCAGCCACGGGGCUGGCCUGCAACUGAUUUUUGUAUAUUGAUUUUGUAUACUGCAACUUUACUGAAUUUGUUUAUUAGUUCUGACAGUCUUUUGAUGGAAUCUUUAGGGUUUUCUAUUGAUAAAAUCAUGUCAUCUGCAAACAGACAAUUUUACUUCUUCCCUUCAGAUUUGAAAGUCUUUUAUUUCGUUUUCUUGUCUAACUGCUCUGGCUAGAAUUUCUAGUACUAUAUUGAAUAGAAGUGGCAAGAGUAGACAUUCUUGUCAUGUUUCUAGAGGAAAAGCUUUUAGCUUUUCACCAUUGAGUAUAACGUUAGCUGUGGGCUUAUCAUAUAUGGCCUUUAUUAUGCUGAGGUACAUUCCACCUAUACCUAAUUUGUUGAGAGAUUUUAUCAUUAAAGGAUGUUGAUUUUUGUCAAAUGCUGCUUCUGCAUCUAUUGAGAUUAUCAUAUGAUUUUUAUCCUUUAUUUUGUUAAUAUAGGGUAUCAUAUUUAUUGAUCUGCAUAUGUUGAACCAUCCUUGCAUCCCAGGGUUAAAUCCCACUUGAUCGUGGUGUAUGAUCCUUUUAAUGUGAUGUUGGAUUUGGUUUGCUAGUAUGUCAUUGAGAAUUUUUGCAUCUAUGUUUAUCAGAGAUACUGGCCCAUAAUUUUCUUUCUUGUAGUGUUCUUGUCUGGCUUUGGGAUCAGGGUAAUGCUGACCUCAUAAAAUGAAUUUGGAAGUGUUCCCUCUUCAAUUUUUGGGAAGAGUUUGAGAAGGAUUGCUGUUAAUUUUUCUUUAAAUUUUUGGUAGAAUUCACGAGUGAAGCCAUCUGGUCCUGGAUUUUUCUUUGUUGGGAGGUUUUUGAUUCAAUGCAACCUCCUUACUUAUCAUUGGUCUGUUCAGAUUUUCUAUUUCUUCAUGACUCAGUCUUUAUAGACUGCAUAUUUCUAGGAAUGUAUCCAUUUCUAGGUUAAUCUUCUAUGUUAUCUAAUUCAUUGGUGUAUAACUGUUCAUAGUAUUCUCUUACAGUCCUUUGUAUUUCUGUGUUAUCAGUUGUAAUGUCUUCUCUCAUUUCUGAUUUUAUUUAUUUGAGUCUUGUCUCUUUUUUCUUAGUCUAGGUAAAGGUUUGUCAAUUUUAUUUAUCUUUUAAAAAGACAGCUCUUAGGGGCUGGCCCCACAGCCUAGUGGUUAAGUUUGGCAUGCUCUGCUUCGGCAGCCCAUGUUUGGUUUCCAGGCAUAGACCUACACCACUUGUUGGGGGCCAUACUGUGGCAGCGACCCACAUACAAAAUAGGGGAAGACUGGCAUGGAUGUUAGCUCAAGGCGAAUCUUCAUCAAGCAAAAAGAGGAGGAUUGGCAACAGCUGUUAACUCAGGCUGAAUCUUCCUCAGCAAAAAAAUAAAAUAAAAAGACAGCUCUUUGUUCUAUUCAUCUUUUCUAUUGUCUUUUUGUCUCUAUUUCAUUUAUUUUUGCUCUGGUCUUUACUUCCUUCUUAUUACUAACUUUGAGCUUAUUUUGUUCUUUCUUUGAAGUGGAAAAUUAGAUUGUUUAUUUGAGAUCUUUCUUUUUUAUCCAAAUUAAGUCCACACAAACAGUUUUAUAUUGUAACGUAGUUAACUGUGCUGCUUUUGCCUCUCUUUGCUCCAUUCAUUCUCUGUUCUUCGCUGCCUAGCUCAGUGCAUCAGGCUGACUCCUGAGGAUGGCAUCACAUGGCUUUCCUGCUUUGUAUGCUUCUGGUUGGGUUAGGUCAAUGGGCGAAGGCCAGAGAGCAGAAGGAGAGAGAUGCCAGGGUACUUAAACCUCCACUGCCUCCCUGCCUGGCCGGGCCUGAAUCCCACUGAGAUAAUAGCUCCCUCCCCAGACAGCUCCCCCACUCCCUGAUCAAUAACACCGUUUCUGCCCUUGCCCUUUCAGGCCUAGUUUAUUAACAGCUUCCCACUCUCGCUAGUCCCCGGAUCCCUCAACAUCCUUUAUUGGUCCCCCUAGUCCUGCCCACACCUUAGUAAAGAAGCCCUGCAUGAAAUUCUCUUCUAAAUCCCAGAAGAGUGUGCCCUCUGUUUUCUAAAGAAUCCUGAGAAGUAC
ensembl:lncRNA